rnacentral:rRNA from 1 species
GAUCCUGGCUCAGGACGAACGCUGGCGGCGUGCCUAACACAUGCAAGUCGAGCGGAGACAGUGAGUAGCUUGCUAUGAGCUGUUUUAGCGGCGGACGGGUGAGUAACGCGUGAGCAACCUUUCCAAGACAGGGGAAUAACACACCGAAAGGUGUACUAAUACCGCAUAAGACCACGGAAUCACAUGGUUCUGGGGUAAAAGAAUUAUCGGUUUGGGGUGGGCUCGCGUCCGAUUAGGUAGUUGGUGAGGUAACGG